UUUUUCAUCUCCGUCAUUCAUGUGCUUUAUGUUAUGGAUCUUAUGUAAAUAUUAUUUGAUUGAAUGGUAGACUAUAUAUUAAGAUUACACUUAAACUGACAUAAGGUAGGCAUGGUGAUAGGAUACUGGAUUUGGGCCUAGGCCCAACUUGAUGUUUGGAAUGGAGAGAGUGGUGACAUGGAAGAUUCUGUCAGGGAAAGUUAAAGAGGGAUAAAGGAAAGAAUUAAGGGUUAUGAUUGUUAAAAAG
rnacentral:lncRNA from 1 species